rnacentral:rRNA from 1 species
UACAGAGGGUGCGAACGUUGCUCGGAAUUACUGGGCGUAAAGGGCGCGUAGGCGGCCACCGCAAGUCGACUGUGAAAUCUCCGGGCUUAACCCGGAAAGGUCAGCCGAUACUGCGGGGCUAGAGUGCAGGAAGGGGCAACUGGAAUUCGUCGGUGUAGCGGAUGAAAUGCGUAGAUAUCGAGAGGAACACCUGCGGCGAAGGCGGGUUGCUGGGCUGACACUGACGCUGAGGCGCGAAAGCUAGGGGAGCGAACGGG